UACGAGAGGGGCAAGCGUUACUCGUCGUGACUGGGCGUAAAGGGUACGUAGGCGGUUUAUUAAGUUCUAAGUCAAAUUUAUUUAUUUUUUGGUUUUUAGAUGGCUUUUAAUACUGGUAAACUUGAGUUAUAUUGGAGAUAGUAGAACUUCUACUGUAGAGAUGAAAUGUGUAAAUAGUAGAGGGAAUAACGAAGGUGAAGACGAAUAUCUAGGUAUAACUGACGCUGAGGUACGAAGGCAUGGGUAUCGAACAGG
rnacentral:rRNA from 1 species